CCUAUGGACAAGAAUAAUCUCGGGAAACUGGGCAUAAUUCUUGAUAGAUCAUAAUGCCUGGAAUGGUUUAUGGUUAAAAUGAUUCGUCGCCAUAGGAUGGGACUGCGGCCUAUCAGCUUGUUGGUGAGGUAAUGGCCCACCAAGGCGAUUACAGGUACGGGCUCUGAGAGGAGAAGCCCGGAGAUGGGUACUGAGACACGGACCCAGGCCCUAUGGGGCGCAGCAGGCGAGAAAACUUUGCAAUGUGCGAAAGCACGACAAGGUUAAUCCGAGUGAUUUCUGCUAAAGAAAUCUUUUGCCAGUCAUAAAACCACUGGUGAAUAAGGGGUGGGCAAGUUCUGGUGUCAGCCGCCGCGGUAAAACCAGCACCUCAAGUGGUCAGGAUGAUUAUUGGGCCUAAAGCAUCCGUAGCCGGCUUUGUAAGUUUUCGGUUAAAUCCAUGUGCUCAACGCAUGGGCUGCCGAAAAUACUGCAUGGCUAGGGAGUGGGAGAGGUAGACGGUACUCAGUAGGAAGGGGUAAAAUCCUUUGAUCUCUCGAUGACCACCUGUGGCGAAGGCGGUCUACCAGAACACGUCCGACGGUGAGGGAUGAAAGCUGGGGGAGCAAACCGGAUUAGAUACCCGGGUAGUCCCAGCCGUAAACUAUGCAAACUCAGUGAUGCAUUGGCUUGUGGCCAAUGCAGUGUUGCAGGGAAGCCGUUAAGUUUGCCGCCUGGGAAGUACGUACGCAAGUAUGAAACUUAAAGGAAUUGGCGGGGAGCACCACAAGGGUGAAGCCUGCGGUUCA
rnacentral:rRNA from 1 species